GUCUCCUGUUUCUGCCCCAUCUUCCCAGCUUGGUGUUUUGAAGCCCAAGCGAAUGGAUUACUGGGUUCUGGUGAUGGAGAAGAGAAAGCCAGGGAAUGUGGACGUUGGCGCCUUUUGAUACAUCUAGCUGGCGUCUGUUCCCUGGACCGUGUUUGUAUUGCGCUGCCAGCCGUGCGCCUUCGCCAUUUUGGUGAGGUGCCGGUUGAACCAUGGGUAGUUGUUGGGCAUUCCCAAACCAACACCGCUCAGCAGCGCUGAACUACAUUU
rnacentral:snoRNA from 1 species